rnacentral:rRNA from 1 species
UCUUCCGCAAUGGACGAAAGUCUGAUGCAGCACGCCGCGUGAGUGAUGAAGGUCUUCGGAUCUGUAAGCUCUGUUGUUAGAGAAGAAUAGGUAUCAUAUUGAUAUGAUGGUACUGUGACGGUAUCUAACCAGAAAGCCACGGCUAACUACGUGCCAGCAGCCGCGGUAAUACGUAGGUGGCAAGCGUUGUCCGGAAUUA